rnacentral:rRNA from 5 species
UCGGGAGGGCGCUUACCACUUUGUGAUUCAUGACUGGGGUGAAGUCGUAACAAGGUAACCGUAGGGGAACCUGCGGUUGGAUCACCUCCUUACCUUAAAGAAGC